AAGAAUUGGAAUUGGAGGACCGAUGGGGACCUAAUGUUGAAUGGUGCAUUUUUUACGCGAUCAGGAGUUAGAACUGGUUCAUCAAGUUAUGCUAAAGCUUCGAGUUUGAGUGCAAGGCCGUCUUCAUUAGUAGCCAAUCUUGUGUCUAGUUCUGGUGCACUCAACUGUAAAAAGGGUUCUCGUUGCUAAUUAUUAUUAUUAUUUCCUAAAAAAGACACAAGAACCAAAGCAAAAGGGGAUUAAUUAUUUAACUUGGUUUUGAAAAAAGAAAAAGGAUGUAAUUUGAAGAAAAA
rnacentral:lncRNA from 1 species